AGCGUAGACGGACUGGCAAGUCUGAUGUGAAAGGCGGGGGCUCAACCCCUGGACUGCAUUGGAAACUGUUAGUCUUGAGUGCCGGAGAGGUAAGCGGAAUUCCUGGUGUAGCGGUGAAAUGCGUAGAUAUUAGGAGGAACACCAGUGGCGAAGGCGGCUUACUGGACGGUAACUGACGUUGAGGCUCGAAAGCGUGGGGAGCAAACA
rnacentral:rRNA from 1 species